rnacentral:rRNA from 1 species
GAACGCGAAGAACCUUACCAGGUCUUGACAUCCAGUGCAAACCUAAGAGAUUAGGUGUUCCCUUCGGGGACGCUGAGACAGGUGGUGCAUGGCUGUCGUCAGCUCGUGUCGUGAGAUGUUGGGUUAAGUCCCGCAACGAGCGCAACCCUUGUCAUUAGUUGCCAUCAUUAAGUUGGGCACUCUAAUGAGACUGCCGGUGACAAACCGGAGGAAGGUGGGAUGACGUCAAGUCAUCAUGCCCCUUAUGACCUGGGCUACACACGUGCUACAAUGGACGGUACAACGAGAAGCGAACCUGCGAAGGCAAGCGGAUCUCUUAAAGCCGUUCUCAGUUCGGACUGUAGGCUGCAACUCGCCUACACGAAGCUGGAAUCGCUAGCAAUCGCGGAUCAGCACGCCGCGGUGAAUACGUUCCCGGGUCUUGUACACACCGA